UACGUAGGGGGCAAGCGUUGUCCGGAUUUAUUGGGCGUAAAGAGCGUGUAGGCGGCCAGGGAGGUCCGUUGUGAAAACUCGAGGCUCAACCUCGAGACGCCGAUGGAAACCCCCUGGCUAGAGUCCGGAAGAGGAGAAUGGAAUUCCUGGUGUAGCGGUGAAAUGCGCAGAUAUCAGGAAGAACACCCGUGGCUAAGGCGGUUCUCUAGUACGCUACUGACGCUGAGACGCGAAAGCGUGGGGAGCGAACAGG
rnacentral:rRNA from 1 species